rnacentral:rRNA from 1 species
CGUGUGUGAAGAAGGCUGCGGGUUGUAAAGCACUUUCGGUAGGGACGAAAAGCCAAGGGCUAAUAUCCUUUGGUCUUGACUUAACCUAAAGAAGAAGCACCGGCUAACUCCGUGCCAGCAGCCGCGGUAAUACGGGGGGUGCAAGCGUUAAUCGGAAUUACUGGGCGUAAAGAGCACGUAGGCGGUUAUGUAAGUCGGAUGUGAAAGCCCAGGGCUUAACCUUGGAAUUGCAUUCGAAACUGCAUGGCUAGAGUUUGGUAGAGGCUAGCGGAAUUCCAGGUGUAGCGGUGAAAUGCGUAGAUAUCUGGAGGAACAUCAGUGGCGAAGCGGCUGGCUGGACCAAAACUGACGCUGAGGUGCGAAAGCGUGGGGACAAACAGGAUUAAUACCUGGUAGUCCCGCCGUAAACGAUG